UACGUAGGCAGCAAGCGUUGUUCGGAGUUACUGGGCGUAAAGAGUGCGUAGGCGGUCCUGUAAGUUUGGUGUGAAAUCUCCCGGCUUAACUGGGAGGGUGCGCCGAAAACUGGAAGGCUUGAGUAUGGGAGAGGUAAGCGGAAUUCCUGGUGUAGCGGUGAAAUGCGUAGAUAUCAGGAGGAACACCUGCGGUGUAGACGGCUUACUGGACCAUAACUGACGCUGAGGCACGAAAGCGUGGGUAGCAAACAGG
rnacentral:rRNA from 1 species